rnacentral:lncRNA from 1 species
AAAUAAAUUGCAAUGUAGCCUAGAUGUACAGCAUUUAAAACUGAUUAACGUUACGCUUUAGUACAUUGGUAACUUAAGCUCAUUUUCUAGCCAUGUCAUGCUAGUUAACAAUUAACAUUUACAGAGAGUAAUUGUAACUUACCUUUGUGAAAAUGCUUUGAACACACCAUCAUGUGUGGUGGAGUGUUAUCGAAGGUAAUCUUGGCUUCCUUACCGCUGAUAGAAGGAUAUUCCGUUCUUAAGCUUUACGCCACUUCUAUCGUGAGAACGACUAUUGCAGUUUAUAACACAGCAGGUAGAAGGCAUCUUGAACACUGCGUUCUUCCCUCCAUGCAAAGAAGUCUGGCGCCUAAUGUUUGUGCCGCGGAUUCCCAAAAUGCUUUGCGUUCACCACUGGGAAUUCGUCAUGAUGACGACACAUUAGCGAUCUCUAUUGUGGGAGUAUAUUAGAAGAGUUUGUUGUUUGCUUGGGCCAUCUGGACCCAGAAGCAUUGAAGCAUGAUGUCAGAUGUAACAAUGAUAUGUUCUUAACCACUCCUACACUCAAAAAAAUGACUCUUUGGCUGAACAUGAUUCUUUCAUGGACAGUGGUUCCACAUGUUUGUACCAUGUUAUUUGGACAUGAAUAAAUCAAGUUAUAAGGACAUGUGUACUUUUAGUUGAGUUUACUCAGUUUGUUUUAGUUCAUCCUACAUGAAAUAUCUGAGUAGAAAUAAUAUGUUUACAUCAUGUAGAACCACUGUCCAUGCAAGUUUAGCCAAAGUGUUAAAAAAACAUUAGCAAGUAAGAUAUAACUUUUCUUUACACAUGAUGUUAGUAGUUUGCAGUUUAAGGAUGUUAUUAUGUGUACAUCAUGCACUAGUACUCCCCUUAAAGUUGCAUUUUUUUUAAAUUAAGUAUUUUAGACUUUCAUUUAACCAGGUCCUCAACCCAACCACAAGCUCCACACUUCACCACAAUGGUAACUCGCACAAAAUACACCAAUAUAAAGUCUUUUAAAAUGCCCACAUAAUAGAGCAUUAGACAUGAAAAAGUCUCCUUAUCACAUUUUAUUAAAGACUGCAUAAAAUAACACUUUAUUUCAACAUUUUCUCUCCCCAUAUCCAGUCCUGUGCAAAGCAUGAUGGGAAGAGUAAAACUUAGUUUGAAGUACUUGAUUGAAACAUGUUCUUUCAAAAUGAAAACUUUUUGUUAAACCAACGAGUGACAGUUUUAAGUCAGUUUAACAUGACACAAUCAUGUUGAAAUGAAAAAUAACCAUUACAAAAUAAUGGCAUUAAUUCAACAUGAAUUGUUCAGGUAAAGUGAACAAAACUGAAAAUUCAUUUUUUAAGUGUAUCCAACCGUGAAUCUGCUAUGAGCAAGAGCUGGGGUGGAGGUGCACCACAAUAAAACCCUACCUUUUAUUCAGUAUCACAUUUCACUUGGAAAUACAUCACAACACUGAAGU